UCAACCUCUCUUACAACCAUCAACAAAGCUAGAAAGAGGGACAACCAUAUGUAAGUGAAGGCAAUGCCAAAAUACCACAUCUUCAUAAGGGGCUUCCUCAAACUAUGGAUCUCAUAUUAACCAAAUUACCAGCCACGUGUCAAAAGCUCAUUACACUCAUUUUGAUUGCAAAAACUAUAAAUACCUUCCUUCCUACUUAAAAUCCAAUCAUCCAAAAAAAAAAAAGCAUCAUUACAACAACAUCUUCUUAAAUUAACUCUUAAGCAAAACCCAAUUUAUUGAAAAUGGAUACCUCCGACAAAAUGGGCUUCAAAGCUGGUGAGACCAAGGGCCAAGCCAAGGAGCAAGCCAGCAACAUGUCAGAGAAGGCUAGCAAUGCUGCUCAAUCUGCCAAGGAAUCGUGCCAAGAGACCGGGUCACAAAUGCAAGCUAAAGCAGAAGACGCCAUGGAGUCAAUGAAGGAUGCCAUGGGCAGCAAAUGAAGCAAAGAUUCUUAAGACAACUACGAAUUACUGGUUAUAUUUCAUGAUUCACUUAAGCUUGGAUGUGACAGCUUAAUUUACUAGUGCAACUUUCUUUUUUUUUUCUUAGUUUUGGGUUGGUUUUUUCCCCAAUGUAUGCUCUUUCUAUAGAGCUGCCUUUUUGUUGAAUAAGAAGCACUGCAAAUAAUGUAGUUGAUUGCUCUUCUCGGAUUAAUUAUACUACUAAUUAAUUAA